AGAGCGAACGCUGGCGGCAGGCUAAACACAUGCAAGUCGAGCGGGCCCUUCGGGGUCAGCGGCGGACGGGUGAGUAACGCGUGGGAACGUGCCUUCUGGUUCGGAAUAACCCUGGGAAACUAGGGCUAAUACCGGAUACGCCCUUUUGGGGAAAGGUUUACUGCCGGAAGAUCGGCCCGCGUCUGAUUAGCUAGUUGGUGGGGUAACGGCCUACCAAGGCGACGAUCAGUAGCUGGUCUGAGAGGAUGAUCAGCCACACUGGGACUGAGACACGGCCCAGACUCCUACGGGAGGCAGCAGUGGGGAAUAUUGGACAAUGGGCGCAAGCCUGAUCCAGCAUGCCGCGUGAGUGAUGAAGGCCUUAGGGUUGUAAAGCUCUUUUAUCCGGGACGAUAAUGACGGUACCGGAGGAAUAAGCCCCGGCUAACUUCGUGCCAGCAGCCGCGGUAAUACGAAGGGGGCUAGCGUUGCUCGGAAUCACUGGGCGUAAAGGGCGCGUAGGCGGCGUUUUAAGUCGGGGGUGAAAGCCUGUGGCUCAACCACAGAAUGGCCUUCGAUACUGGGACGCUUGAGUAUGGUAGAGGUUGGUGGAACUGCGAGUGUAGAGGUGAAAUUCGUAGAUAUUCGCAAGAACACCGGUGGCGAAGGCGGCCAACUGGACCAUUACUGACG
rnacentral:rRNA from 1 species